AACGAACGCUGGCGGCAUGCCUAACACAUGCAAGUCGAACGAGACCUUCGGGUCUAGUGGCGCACGGGUGCGUAACGCGGGGGAACCUGCCCUUAGGCUCGGAAUAACUCCCCGACAGGGGUGCUAAUCCCGGAUAAUGUCUUCGGACCACAGAUUUAUCGCCUUUGGAUGGGCCCGCGUUGGAUUAGCUAGUUGGUAGGGUAAAAGCCUACCAAGGCGACGAUCCAUAGCUGGUCUGAGAGGAUGAUCAGCCACACUGGGACUGCGACACGGCCCAGACUCCUACGGGAGGCAGCAGUGGGGAAUAUUGGACAAUGGGCGAAAGCCUGAUACAGCAAUGCCGCGUGAGUGAUGAAGGCCUUAGGGUGGUAAAGCUCUUUUACCCGGGAUGAUAAUGACAGUACCGGGAGAAUAAGCUCCGGCUAACUCCGUG
rnacentral:rRNA from 1 species